rnacentral:rRNA from 1 species
CCUACGGGCGGCAGCAGUGGGGAAUAUUGCACAAUGGGGGAAACCCUGAUGCAGCGACGCCGCGGGAGUGAAGAAGGAUGUCGGGAUGUAAAGCUCGAGCAGCAGGGAAGAAAAGGACGGUAACUGAGUAAGAAGCCCCGGCUAACUACGAGCCAGCAGCCGCGGUAAUACGCAGGGGGCAAGCGUUAUCCGGAGUUACUGGGUGGAAAGGGAGCGUAGACGGCAGCACAAGUCUGAAGUGAAAUGCCGGGGCUUAACCCCGGAACUGCUUUGGAAACUGUGCAGCUAGAGUGCAGGAGAGGUAAGUGGAUUUCCUAGUGUAGCGGUUACAUGCGUAGCUAUUAG